rnacentral:rRNA from 1 species
GACGAACGCUGGCGGCGUGCUUAACACAUGCAAGUCGAACGAAGAGCGAUGGAAGCUUGCUUCUAUCACUCUUAGUGGCGAACGGGUGAGUAACGCGUAAUCAACCUGCCCUUCAGAGGGGGACAACAGUUGGAAACGACUGCUAAUACCGCAUACGAUCUAAUCUCGGCAUCGAGGAUAGAUGAAAGGUGGCCUCUACAUGUAAGCUAUCACUGAAGGAGGGGAUUGCGUCUGAUUAGCUAGUUGGAGGGGUAACGGCCCACCAAGGCGAUGAUCAGUAGCCGGUCUGAGAUGAUGAACGGCCAACUUUGGACCGAGACACGGCCCAGACUCCUACGGGAGGCAGCCGUGGGGAAUCUUCCGCAAUGGACGAAAGUCUGACGGAGCAACGCCGCGUGAGCGAUGACGGCCUUCGGGUUGUAAAGCUCUGUUAAUCGGGACGAAAGGCCUUCUUGCGAAUAGUGAGAAGGAUUGACGGUACCGGAAUAGAAAGCCACGGCUAACUACGUG